UGGGGAAUCUUCCGCAAUGGACGAAAGUCUGACGGAGCAACGCCGCGUGAGUGAAGAAGGUUUUCGGAUCGUAAAACUCUGUCUUUUGGGGCGAACGUGAGUAUGGUGAACAAUCAUAGUCAGUGACGGUACCAAAGGAGGAAGCCACGGCUAACUACGUGCCAGCAGCCGCGGUAAUACGUAGGUGGCAAGCGUUGUCCGGAAUUAUUGGGCGUAAAGAGCGCGUAGGCGGGAUAGUCAGUCUGUUGUAAAAGUGCGGGGCUCAACCCCGUGAUGGCAAUGGAAACAGCUAUUCUUGAGUGCAGGAGAGGAAAGUGGAAUUCCCAGUGUAGCGGUGAAAUGCGUAGAUAUUGGGAGGAACACCAGUGGCGAAGGCGACUUUCUGGACUGUGUCUGACGCUGAGGCGCGAAAGCCAGGGGAGCGAACGGGAUUAGAUACCCCGGUAGUCCUGGCCGUAAACGAUGGGUACUAGGUGUGGGAGGUAUCGACCCCUUCCGUGCCGGAGUUAACGCAAUAAGUACCCCGCCUGGGGAGUACGGUCGCAAGACUGAAACUUAAAUGAAUUGAC
rnacentral:rRNA from 1 species